UCCCUGGUGGCUCAGAUGGUAAAGAAUCUGCCUGCAAUGCAGGAGACCCGGGUUUGAUCCCUGGGUUGGGAA
rfam:TPA: Bos taurus chromosome X, whole genome shotgun sequence.